CCUACGGGAGGCAGCAGUGAGGAAUAUUGGUCAAUGGACGAGAGUCUGAACCAGCCAAGUAGCGUGAAGGAUGACUGUCCUAUGGGUUGUAAACUUCUUUUAUAUGGGAAUAAAAUGUUCCACGUGUGGGCUUUUGUAUGUACCCUAUGAAUUAGGAUCGGCUAACUCCGUGCCAGCCGCCGCGGUAAUUCGGAGGAUCCGAGCGUUUAUCGGAUUUAUUGGGGUUAAAGGGAGCGUAGGUGGGUUGUUAAGUCCGUUGUGAAAGUUUGCGGCUCAACCGUAAAAUUGCAGUUGAAACUGGCAGUCUUGAGUACAGUAGAGGUGGGCGGAAUUCGUGGUGUAGCGGUGAAAUGCUUAGAUAUCACGAAGAACUCCGAUUGCGAAGGCAGUUCACUGGACUGCAACUGACGCUGAGGCUCGAAAGUGUGGGGAUCAAACAGGAUUAGAUACCCGAGUAGUC
rnacentral:rRNA from 1 species